ensembl:lncRNA
GAGCAGGAGGCUCUGAGAGUAUACGGAAAGACUGACAGUGGCGAGGACAAGGGUUUUGGUGUGAAAAUUGUGGUGGACAUUGUGGGUUCAGGGCUCUUUCUCCUGUCUCCUGGCCCCGUUCCCUCACACUACCAUUCGGUGGCCGUAACUGUGGUAUAGAAGAUGGUAAAGCACACGGAUAUGUGUGAAGUGAGUGGAUGUGGGCCUCUAUUCAAGAUGAGGCGUUAAUAUUCGGAUCAAGUCUUCACAUUUCAUUUUCCCAGUGAAUUGUGGGCCUCUCUCCCAGGAGAUCAUUUUGCCACCGCCGCUCUUUCUGUGCACCAUUUAAUGUUGUUUAUAAUGUUUUAUACCGUUGCACACUAACAUAACCUGAGGGAGUUCUGAGAAGGAACACCUCUUGCUUCUGAGGAUGCUGUAAUCCUCCUGAGAUGCUGCCUGCCCUCACCUUUUCAUGAUCUUCUCCUGCAGCUCUAUUGACUCUGGUGCAUUGCUUUGACAGUCAUUUCUUUCUCUGAUUGUCCAGAAGGUCUAGCAGUUUCUGGUUUCAACUGCUUAAGUUGUUCCCUCUUUACCUAGUUCUCCCCCUUUGCAAGGAUUUUUGCUUCCAGGUCCUUAAAGAAGCGUUCCUGGGUUGUCAAAUUGGCAAGAGGCUUAUUGAGCUUUCUAAAACGAUUUCCACAUAUUGCAAAGAGACAGAGAAAGAACUGACAAGUUUUCCAAAGUAAACCUUCUAAAGCAAAGGGAGGGGAGAAAGCCUGCUCUCACUUGUCAAUGGGGAUAUUAAACCUUUGUUUCUUAUGUCACUUUGUAUUUGCCCUCCAAUAUCCUAACAUGAGAUACCACGUCCCCCCCAGGUAUCUGUCCCCCGCAAAUUGUGAUUGUCACACCCUGGCCAAACUGAGGCCACAGGGAACUUCGUUCAGUGGAACUUGUGCCAAAGGUACUGCAAGGAGAAGGAAUAAAUGGUUUCAGUUGCUAUGCUGAUCUCACCAGUCUUGGCAAGUGGAAGAUAUACUGUUCCACUCUGUCAGAAGGGAACAGAAGAUUGUGUAAAAUAUUUUGAAUCUGUAAAACUGUGUUUUUCAAUAAAAUGUGUAUGAUGGAAAAGCUGCGACUUGUGAAUGUUAUUAUUUAUCACCACUCCAAGCGUGACCAAUGAAGAUGUGGCUCUGCGUGUGCAUCACAUCAGGUACCGAGUGGGACUCUGGGCUCAGUAAUCUGGGGCGUUGAUGACAGGGGGGUGGGGUGGCAGGGUGAGGGGUCUCCGGGCCGUAAUUGAAGUUCUCCCCUUCUUAAGGUAAGAAGGAUGGUAGGUAAUCUGACAUCUUUCUAGGUGAAGUGAUCCUUCUGGCCACUUCAUGAGGAUGACAGAUACUUGCCUGGAUAUUGUGGGGGUGAUGGGGAUAUCUCCCGUUCCUGCUCUGGGUGAGGAUAUGAGGAGUGGCCCAGCAUGGUCCUGGAGAACAUCAGAAGUCCUGGGAACAAAAAUCUGGAAGCACACAAUAAGCUCCUGGUCCGUUGUGUAUUAGAAUCCAGUCCCUUGAUUAUUAGGGAUUUUUCCCUAUGUAACACUCAUUACCAGAGUAUGAAUGGGCAGAAUCCAAAAGGUAACUGAAUGGCAGAAUUGGUUUGUGCUUAAAAAAGGAAAAACUCUACAUACAUUGCAUAACAUUUCUAAUAGUAAAUUUAGAACCCCUUUGUAGAGCAGCUUGCAGACAACAUUUUAUGAAAUAGCCAUUCAGUUGGCAUAAUGGUGCACGAAUACACAUUCGGAGAAUGUUAAGAUAACUCUCAAUCUGCCUCAUGAACCUAGGCAGAGAGGGGAGCAUCCAGGAUUUGGGCAGGUAGGCAAGUUGGGUGGGUCAAGGCCCACACCUGAUCACGGGGGUGGGGGGGGGAUGCCAGGUGGUGGGGGCAUGCCAAGCAUGCAAAAGGGAAGUAGCAGAAAGAUGGCCUAAGCUGGCCGAUCCCCCAGGUCAUCUGCAGGCCUCCCUAAGCCAGGCGGUGAGGGCUCAGGCUAGAGCCCGGCUCAGGCAGGCAGGGUAGAGGCCUGGCCCCGGGGCCCUUGGAGGGCUCCACUAGGGGCUGCCAAUCACUUGGGGCCUCCCUG